AUACUUACCUGGCAGGGGAGAUACCAUGAUCACGAAGGUGGUUUUCCCAGGGCGAGGCUUAUCCAUUGCACUCCGGAUGUGCUGACCCCUGCGAUUUCCCCAAAUGUGGGAAACUCGACUGCAUAAUUUGUGGUAGUUGGGGACUGCGUUCGCGCUUUCCCCUG
rnacentral:snRNA from 1 species